rfam:Trichobilharzia regenti genome assembly, scaffold: TRE_scaffold0002719
AUCCAGCUCACGAGUCCCGAAUAGGACGAAAUGAGCAUCCUGGAU